GCAAGUGUGGCUGAAGAUAACAUCCUUCAGAUAUGGCAAAUGGCAGAGAAUAUAUACCAUGACGAAGAUGACAUACCAGGAGAUGAAUCCACCAAAGGAUGCUAGUGUAUUUUCCAAUUCUUUGGGAGCCUGGGGUGGUGGAUAAAUGUCAAUUAUAAAACAGGCACCUUGGGAAUAUUUUUUUUUUUAAACCCCUGUUUUUGAAUCUGGCCUCCAAUAUUUUUGUUAGCGCAGUGAAAGCCUAUGUUUGAGCUGGAAGCAUAGUGACCUAUAGUAUUUUUAUAUUUAGGACUUGGUUUUCUAUUUGCAUUCACAUCCUGGAAUUAAUGGUAUGCAUUUACUAUUUAGUGAAAACACAAGCAUCUGUUAUGAUUAUGAUUUUAAACUUGUGAGAGUUGCUGCCGGAGAUUUUACUACUGGAUUACAUGAUGGAGUUAAAGUUUCAAAAGCGGAAAGCAUUGUUUAAAGUAAAAUUUGUUCUACUUUAGCUGAGAAAUUUGAUAUAGCAGUAAACUUUAAUGCUGCAACAAGUUUACAGACAGAUCUCUUCAUCUGAGCUGAUGAUUGUUUGAUUUCAUAAUAGCAUACAGACAUAAAAACUGAAGCUUUAUCAUGGCAUUGCCACAUUUGUAAGACUAGUUUAAGCUAUGCUGAAAUUGAAAUGUGGUAAUACUGAAAAUAAGG
rnacentral:misc_RNA from 1 species